rnacentral:rRNA from 1 species
UUUUUAUGGAGAGUUUGAUCCUGGCUCAGGACGAA